AACGAACGCUGUCGGCAGGCCUAACACAUGCAAGUCGAGCGCGCCUUCGGGUGAGCGGCGGACGGGUGAGUAACGCGUGGGAAUAUGCCCUUCUCUACGGAAUAGUUCUGGGAGACUGGGGGUAAUACCGUAUACGCGUUUUGGGGCAAAGAUUUAUCGGGAAAGGAUUAGCCCGCGUUGGAUUAGGGAUUUGGUGUGUUAAUGGCCUACGAAGCAGACGAUCCAUAGCUGGUUUGAGAGGAUGAUCAGUCACACUGGUACUGAGACACAGCCCAGACUCCUAGGGAAAGCAGAAGUGAUGAAUCCAGGACUACCGGGUCUACACUGAUCUAGCCAUGCCUCGUGAGCAAUGUAGGCCAUAGGGUUAUAAAUCUCUUUCAGCCGGGAAGAUGAUGACGUUACCAGCAGAAGAAGCCCCGGCUAACUCCGUG
rnacentral:rRNA from 1 species